rnacentral:lncRNA from 1 species
UGCUGCAAGAUUAUCUUGAUAGGACUUGACUUCAAUUUAAAACCGGUGACUCACUCUGACAUAUUCUCACAUAUGCUUAAUUGGCUUGUUAAUUGGGAUCAAGGACAAAAUAGAAUGGAUGAAUCCGAUGUCAUCAUGUCCUGGAGACCUGACAAGGCACUGAUAGAAUGGCUACACAGUUGUUUGGAUGUGAUCUGGCUAUUGGUUGAGGAGGACAAAUGUCGAGUGCCCUUUUAUGAAUUGCUACGCAGUGGCUUGCAGUUCAUAGAGAACAUACCGGAUGAUGAGGCCUUAUUCACCCUUAUCUUGGAGAUCCAUAGGCGGAGGGAUAUGAUGGCAAUGCACAUGCAGAUGUUAGAUCAGCACCUUCAUUGUCCUACAUUUGGAACUCAAAGGAUACUAACCCUCACUACUCCUAAUGUGUCUGGUGAAGCAGUUGGAAACUUACGGUAUUCCCCGAUCACAUAUCCAAGUGUGCUUGGAGAACCACUAAACGGAGAGGUGAUUAGCUACUCCUAAAUUUCGUAAAUGACGUGCAUUCUCCUCUACAAGAUAAAGACACGUCGUCUAAUAAAGGAGAUUUUUGAUAGAUUUUAUUUACUAAUCAUAUCUUUCAGGAACUAGCAACGUCAAAGGUACGGGGAAGUUUGGAUUGGGAAAGAGCAUUGCGAUGUAUAAGACAUGCUAUUAGGACUGCUCCAUCGCUUGACUGGUGGAAGCGUGUGCUUUUGGUGGCUCCUUGCUAUAGACCUUCAGGACAACCACCAAGUCCUGGUGCUGUUUUUACCUCUGAAAUGAUAUGCGAGGCAACAAUUGAUAGGAUUAUCGAGCUAUUGAAGUUGACAAAUUCAGGCAAGGUGUUCUAUCUUAACAGAUGUAGUUGGAGUUUUCCUCAAAAUUAAAGGGAAAACAACACAAAUGGUCCAUGAAUUUUGUUCCAAUGUGCAAUAUUGCCCUUGGACUUUUUAUAUGUUCAAUGUGGUCCCUAAACUAUUAAUAAUGUUCAAUCGACUCCUUAGAUUAUAUAAAAAUGGUUAAUGUUGUUCUUUUGUUAGGGGUUCAAAUUCCCACCUUCUCAAGGGAGGAUGGGGGUAGGAACGCAUAAGUUUGAGAGUGGGUUGCGACUCCCACGCCCUGCAAGAGGCAGGGCACAAGUCUGCAAGUGAGUGUAGAGUAGGAAUAGAGUAGGACUCAAUGUUUUGCUCUUUAAAAGUAGAUGGAUAAAAAGAUGAUGUCAACUCAUCAUUUUUAAAAGUCCAAUUCAGCAUAUAAUGAUUCAACGCUUGAUUUGUUGUUUGUGCAAACAAAGGACCACAUCGAACAUUUACAGAUAGUUCAGUGACCACAUUCCAAGAAGGACAUUGCACAUUGGGCUACAUGUCACGUAGCAUACGUGUCAUUUUCCCUAAAUUAAAUGUACAUUACGUUAGGAAUUCUAGAUAUGUUCUUGCACUAUUAAGGAGAAUUGUUCUUUACAGUUUUGGAGAAGGAAACAUAUUAGUUCUAAAAGUGAUGAUUUGCAAAUGCUUUGAAUAUAAGGUCUAUCUAGUUAAGCAUAUAGAUAUUUCCAUCUUUGUUUGUUGCACUGAUCACUAGGAAAUUCUUCUUGUGGUGGUCAUCAACGUCGAAGAUAACAUUAGAUCAACGGUUUAUUAUUGGGCUUUGCAUUUACUCAUUUGUACUUUAAUGGAAAAAAAUGGGGAGCGACUAAGAAUCAAUCAAUGGUUGCGAAGUUUAGGAUUUAGUUUGCUAUCUAUGAGUGCGUUUGGUUUAGCAUUUCCAAGGGGUUUUCAGCCUCUAAAGCUUCUUCGAGAAAUGCUAGAUCGUUUGGCAAUCAUUUUGAAGUAGCUUUCAAGUGACAGCAUUGGGAAUGUUGAAAGCCUAAUGCUAGUAGGGACUAAUUUUGAGCUUUUAGUAUUUGAAAUGUUGAAACUUAUUUUUUUUUCUUCCAAAAUUAUCCUCACUCAUUUUUCAAAUUUCUGAUUAAAUUAUCCUCACUCAUUUUUCAAAUUUCUGAUUUUGCCCUCAUUAUUAUUUUUUAAAAUGCCAAAAUAACGCCAAAAAAUCAAAUAUAUAUAAAUGCUAAAAAAAUUAUUUAUAUAUUUGAUUUUUUAGCAUAUAUAUUUGAUUUUUUAGCAUUGUUGUCAAAAUUUAUAUUUAAAAAGUUGCAUACAUUAUUUUUUUUUUCAAUUUUAAACAAAUAAAAAAAAAAAUUCCAAUGAAGGGUUUGUUUUAAAAAAAAAUCAUAUAUAUGUAUUUGAUUUUUUAGCAUUAUUUUCAAAAUUAUAUUUAAAAAAUUGCAUACAUUAUUUUGUCAAUUCUAAACUAUUAUAAAUUAAAAAUUUCGACAAAGGAUUCGGUCAUUUAAAAAAAAUUAUAUAUAUGUAUUUGAUUUUUUUAGCAUUAUUGUCAAAUUUAUAUUUAAAAAUUUAUAUACAUUAUUUUUUCAAUUUUAAACAAAUAAAAAUUAAAAAAUUCUGAUUAAGGGUUUGGCCUUUUUAAAAAAAAAUUAUAUAUAUGUAUUUUCUUUUUAGCAUUAUUCUCAAAUUUAUGUUUAAAAAGUUGCGUACAUUAUUUUUUCAAUUUUAAACAGAUAAAAAUUAAAAAAUUCUAAUGAAGGAUUUGGUCCUUUUUAAAAAAUAUAUAUAUUAUAUUUGAUUUGUUUUAGCAUUAUUGUCAAAAUUUAUAUUUAAAAAGUUGCAUACAUCAUUUUUUUUAAUUUAAGCAAAUUAAAAUUAAAAAAUUUCCGAUGAAGGGUUUGGUCUUUUGAAAAAAAAAUUAUAUAUGUAUUUGAAUUUUUUUUAGUAUUAUUGUUAAAAUUUAUAUUUAAAAGUUGCAUACAUUAUUUUUUUUUCAAUUUUAUAUAAAUAAAAUAAAUAAAAUUAAUAUUAAUCAUCCAAAGAGCUUUUUAAAUGUGUUUUCUACUAAACAGCAUUUCUCUCAAAGUUGCUUCUUAAAGCAUAGUUUAUCAAGCAGUCUUUGCAUUUGCUUAAAGAUCUUUAUGCUAAACUGCUUUGCAUUUUCCAAUGGGCUUUCAAAAUAUUGAACCAAACGCACCCAUAAUUGAAGAUAACAUAUACUUCUCUAGCUUAAAGAAAGGUAAUCAAGUAGGUAGGAUAUGCAAAACUGAUAAGCCUGUCAUGAAGAUAAUCAUAUCUAUGAAAUUGCUAUGAUCGGGGUCAAAUUAAUCAUAAAAAAACAAAAAAAAAGCUUGAGCACAUAAAGAACCCGAGAAGAGUUUGUAUGGUGAAACAAAGAAAUUUCUUAUGCCAAGCAGGCCAAAUACUACUUUCUCAAAAUGAUGGAAGACCACCUUAAAGUCACUAUGAUCGAUUCAAAUGGGAACUGUUGGAACACUUUAGUACCUGAGACUUAGUUUGGUAUUUGUUUAGCCAUCAUUUGGACGAGGCUGCUUAUUCUAAGCUGCCAUUCUAUCUGGGCAAUUGCACUUUUCGGAUGUUUGCAUCAAUUCCUUUAUUUAGCUAGUGAAGUCGUGCUCUUGACUUUUACCUAGUUAACUCCUUUUAAGCCAAAAAAUCAGUCUUGCUGCUGAAUUUUGAAGUUACUUCUUAGCAUAUUGAUUUUUCUUAGGCAAGAUUGUGAGUUGGAACCUUUGAUAACUUUUUUGACUAGGUGUCGGACUCUUAUAUUACCCCUUUUCUAAUUAUAUACUGAUGUGGAAAUCUAUCAAAAGUAGUAACUUUUUUGUUAAAUCCUUUCAUGGUUUUUUAAAGGAGAAGAUGAUGGUUGGUGAUGGAUUGACUUCCUGGAUAUCUAUUUGGAAAACCAAGGUCCAUGUAGGUUGUCGUAUUUGGUUGGGAAACUUCUCGCAGGCACAUCCUUACUUUGGACAAUCUGAAAAAAAAAAAGGAGUGGUGUUAACCUGUAGAUGCUUCCUUUUCAAUUAGAGAGGAGAAACCGUGUCAAACCUUUUAUAAAAAGUCCAACCCAAAAGCUUAAGUUGACAUGAAUAUUAAAAGCAUUAUUUCAACCCCUCCUCUCAUGUUAGAAAGGCCAACCCAAAAUCUUAAGGGAUCACUAGCUUUGAUACCAUGUUAGAAAGUCCAACCCAAAAUCUUAAGCUUAAUAGGUGGAGCGAUACCAAAUGAAUAUAAAGAGCAUUUAGGAUCCAUUGUGAAGCAAUGUGGGACAAAAUUUCAACAAAUCUUCUUCUUCAUUAUAUUUUGGAUGAGUGCUUUUUGGGCAACCUGUUAUGCCUCUAUGGGCCUUUGUUGGGUUAUAGCCGAAUCACUUGAGCAAGAACUUGGGACAUGGCAAGGUACUUUUAUACCUUGCGGUUGUUGAGCCGGUACCAUUAGCUCCUCUGGUUUAUUUUUGGUUCAUAGAGUGGAAUGAGAGAACUUUUGAGUGGCAAGAGUCCUCUAUUCAAGAUCUUAUUCAAAAUUGGCUUAAAGUUCUACAUCUUUGGUAUAGUGGGGAUAUGUUCUUGGAUGUAGAUGCUUCACUGGACAUUGUGGAUACCUUGUCUUGUAAAUGAGAUCCCCUUCUUGGUUUUGAGCUCUUUCUGGACAUGAGCUCUUUUCGUACAUAGGUUGGCUUCCCUUUGGUGUCUUAUAGUGAAUUUCUCUGUACUUAAAAAAAAAAAAUGCUGAUGUACUAACAACUUCCUUGACCAGAAUAGACGGGAAAGCUGGUCACCUGGUCAAGACCCUGCGAAGAUUAAGAAGUCUGUGAAUAUAAGAGAUAUCGUGUACCCUAUAUAUGAUAUUUAUGUUGUAACUCAUUUGAUAAUGAAGACUUCUCUGUAAUAAAAUAAGGUGGUUUUCUAUCAAAUAUGGGAGUAAUCAUGGAGGGAAAGAUAACUUUUGGCCGUGCUCUUUUGGUUUGCUGCUUAAAUUAGAUUCUUCAAGUUGUGCUUUUUAUUUGUUGUGACCGAAAUUGAUCUCAUACUUCAGAUUUCCUUAUCAUUCUUCCAGUGUUGUGUUUAUUUUUCUACAUGCCUGGAUUUGUAAUGCUGGUAAAAAAUGAUUAAAAUCUAGUCAUUCAUAGAUUGCUGGAGAUUUAGAAUGGACUCACAACAAACAUAAUUUUUUGCAGAUAUAAAUUGCUGGUCAGAGUGGCUCAUCUUUUCAGAUAUCUUCUUUUUCCUAAUGAAGAGUGGGUGUAUCGAUUUUGUUGAUUUUGUGGGCAAACUAGUUGUGCGACUUACAGAAGGCGAUCAACAAAUUCUUCGUACAAAUCAUGUGACUUGGCUACUUGCUGAAAUUAUUCGAAUCGAGCUCGUGGUAAAUGCUUUGAAUUCAGAUUCUAGAAAGGUUGGUUUUGAACUAUCAAUUGGUUUUGGAUCACUAUUUUUCAGUUUUUUUCCUGUUCUUUUUUUUGGCCAUACAGUCUUGUUUCUAAUCAAUAUAUGCUCAACAGGGUUACUUUUGCCGUUGGGCGUGAGUUAUUUCAUAUCAUGUUGUCGGAACAUGUCUUAGAAAACAGAGAGAUAAGUUUACAUGAUGAAUUUAGGACCCCAUUCCUUAAUCCUCUCCUUAUACAGUGACUCAGCUGAUAACAGUCACAAAGUUGGUUUGGUGGUCAAAGCAUUUUUUGGUCCUCACUUGACAUCUGACUCAAGCUUCAGAACAGAUGUUGAUUGUUGAUCAUCCAGUUUAUUUGACUUUAAUGAGCAUGAUAAUUUAUUUGUGGUAUUUUUGGUUCUUUCUUCAAGCUACAUUCCUGCUGUAAUUCAGCUGUCCAAGUUAUUAAUAAAAAAUUUUACGUGUUUGUAACACACAUUUUGCAGGACGCAUCUACUCAAUUAACCUAAUAUGCUCUUGAAUAAUGUGUUCUGCUCUUCUUCUAUUAUGCGCUUGUUCUCAAGAGGACCUGUAACUCAAUUUGACGACGAAGGUUUAAAACAGAAGAAAGUGAACUUGCAUAAUGAUGAUUGUAGUGAUAAACUGGAGAAAGAGAGGAAAUGCUGAAUAUAAUGAGCUGCAAAUAUAGUUUUGUGAAGAGUGCAUAGAAUGUUGCUAGAAUAAGUGAUUUUUGUGAGCAUGGAAAUUCUAGCUGAAUUAUAGUGGAGUAUACAAUGUGGAAGACUGGACUUAACUUUUAUUUGGCUAAAUGUAGAUGUGUGAAAGUUUUGACAUUGAAAGAUAAAAACAACAGUCUGGUGAAUUAAUAUUUCCUUUAUAGAAUAAAAUGAAAAGGUGUUAUGUUAGGAUGAGGAGGGGGCCCAAUGGAAAAGGGCCAUAAAAUCUUUGUUCAGGUGGCUGGGCUUUAAUACUAAAUAUGACUUGGUUAAAUUGCUGGUGGCAAAAUUUCUCAUAGAACAGACGCAUAAACCUUGCAUAGGACAGAUAUAGAUCACAUGCAUAAACCUCGCUUACUGAGGAGCACUUAAUUAAUUCCAUGCUUCCAAACUUUGCCUUAGGAUGAGGAGACAAAAUCUUGAUCAUAAUUGUGUACAGGGUUUCCAGAGGUUUUAACUCUUAUAGAGUAACUUGCCUAUGCUUAUAAAACUUGUGAUUCUCCAGCAAUCAGGUCCUUUUAGAUGAUAUUAGGCUUCCUUGUACUAGCCGGUGAAGGGUUUGAUUGAUGAACAAGGUUUUAGUAGACCAUGGAUUAAAAGGACAAACGUCCACUUCUCACUUACAGUAAUUAGCUUUGAUAUGAGAUGUGGUUUCUUGCAAUUUGGAUCACAUGCAUAAACCUCCCUUACUGAGGAGCAUUUAAUUAAUUCCAUGCUUUCAAACUUUGGCUUAUGAUGAGGAGGCAACAUCUUGAUCAUAAUUGUCUACAGGGUUUCAAGAGGUUAUAACUCUUAUAGAGUAACUUGCCUAUGCUUAUAGCACUUGUGAUUCUCCAGCAAUCAGGUCCUUUUAUAUGAUAUUAGGCUUCCUUGUACUACCUGGUGAAGGGUUUGAUUGAUAAACAGGGUUUUAGUAGACCAUGGAUUAGAAGGACAAAUCUCCACUUCUCACAUACAGUAAUUAGCCUUGAUAUGAUGUGUAGUUUCUUGCAAUUUAGAUGGCUUUUGCAGAUUAAUUCACAUAUUCUUCAAUUGUUUAAUAUCUUUUACUCUUGAAGUUCAGAAUGUUGAAUCAUUACGUAACUCGUGCUUUGCCCCCUGCUAGGUGGAGACAAUCAGGAAGAUUUUGUCAUUUCAUCGAGAAGACAGAGGCUCAGAUCCUAAUAAUCCUCAAAGUAUCCUACUUGAUUUUAUUAGCAGUUGUCUGACUUUACGAAUUUGGUCACUGAAUACAGCAACGAGGGAAUAUUUGAAUAAUGAGCAGCUUCAGAAAGGAAAGCAGAUAGAUGAAUGGUGGAGGCAAGUGGGCAAAGGUACUGCUUAUGAAUAGCCUUGUUAGAGUUUAGUUGUUUGAUGGUAUAGACAUACCUAUUACUACUCGUGAAUUCUAUCUACUGUUCCAUUAUUGUCGACUUCUCACUUAAGCCAUUCUUUCCAUUGGCUAACAAAUGUUCAUUGGCUUCUAGAAAAGCAUAGAAAAACAUGGACUAUAAGCUUGGACACAGAAAAAAGACGUAUAAUGUGCCUAGAAAAUUUGAUGUUCCAUUAUAAUGUGCCCCGCAAAUUUGAUGGCUUCUAAUUUAAGUAGGAUUGUACUUCUCAGGAAAAUUUAAUAGGAAUGGCAGGCCAGGUAAAAGGAGAUUUCAUGUUACCUUAAAAUAGAAGCUGCAAAUGCCUAUAUUCCUCCACCCAGGAGAUGUUCCUUUACGGAAUUAGUCUUUUUAAAAACCUUAUUCCUUUCUGAAACAUCUUUCUUCAUUGGUGUUUUUACACUCUGCACCAUCACUUUCCAGAAUUUACACUUAACAUCCUCUCACUUAAUCUUCAAUAAUUACCUGCACCUUGUGUUAGUAUUCUUUUUCUUGAUCACCCUCUACAGUUUAAUUAUAAGCAAUGAUGCCACUAGAGGCCGAGAUUCCAUUUAACACAAAUGCACUUCAGCUAGCUGCACUUCCAUGCAGAUCACAGAUUCUGAGUAAGGCAACUUUCUGGAGGUAAAAUUAUAUUGAUGAAAUAGAGGUUUUGGUCGCCAGCAAGGUAGCAGGAAAGAGAUAUGUUGAAUGGGAUAUAAAAUCAUGCAGGAUUAACUCAGAGACCGCCUCUGAGCAUCAAACUAAUGUAAACCGAGAAUCAAGACAUGUAUGAUAAUUUAGAAACGAAAAGCUAAAUUUAACCAUCACAUAUUUGAAAAUAGAUAUGAAGUAUUUGCCAAUAUGGGUCCAUGUUCUGGUUUUGCUUCAUGCAAUUUCAGACUAUAAAGCUUAGCAAACCGUUAAAUAGGAAAGAAGGAAUGAUGACCCAAGAAGUACCUUGAGCUGCUUUUUGAAAAUCACCUUUGAACUCUUCAGUUGACAUAACUCUGACAACUUAUGCUCUUGGCUACGUCAAUUAAUUGUCACAAUUGUCAUGUGCAUUUAAUGAAUGCAUCUGAUGUGCCACCCUACAACUUACGUGUAUGAAUAAUACGAGCUCACGGACUUGAUGCAUGUGCUUGCACACAAACUCAUGAGCGAGAACGCUGUAAUUUAAAUCACAUAUUAACAGAGAAAAUCAAUCAACCUUCUGUAUUCUUUUUUCACCUCAAAGGAAGUGAAUGCUAUCCUCAACCAUGUGGCCGUAUUUUUCUCUGUCUCUUAUCGUUAGCCUAGUUUUAGGCUAUCACAAUGUCAAUGUGGAUGCUAAUAGCAAAGUUUAUUUGGACUGCACCAAUUGCUUAAACCUGUUGUCUCAGACUUGUUUAUAAAGUUUCAAUCCAUGCAUAUCGAGCAGAUUUUCUACAGCUUGUUGAGCUUCUUUUUCAGGAGAUCGCAUGAUGGACUACAUGAAUAUGGAUGAGAGAUCAAUAGGGAUGUUUUGGGUUGUAUCUUACACCAUGGCUCAACCAGCUUAUGACACGGUGAUGAACUGGUUAUCCUCUGCUGGAGUUACGGAAUUAUUACCGGGUUCUAAUAUGCCAAAUGAGAGAGUAAUGAGGGAAGUAAGCCCAAUACCAAUGACCCUAAUCUCUGGGUUCUCAAUGAACCUAUGUUUAAAAUUGGCGUUUCAGAUGGAGGAGGCUUUAUUUUCCAACCAGGUAUCCAUUAAUGGAGCUUUCUCCUUUCUACAAUUCUGGUGGAUUUUACUUUUGCUGGUCCAUCAUCGCUCAUCUUCAGCUUAAUUGGCAUGAUAUCAUCUAUUGCCACUUUGUACAGCUCUAUCCUUUGUUUCUGUUUAAUCUAUGGUUAUGCUUUGCAAUGCCCGAGUGUGAAGCAGCAGGCAUCUAAUCUAAUCCAAGAUGAUAAUAUGCCAGUAAAUGUUGAUAGUUCAUGCACCAUUGUUUUGCCAAUAUCAUAUAUUCUUUUCUGAAUGCAUAUAUUCUUUUCUGAAUGCAGGUUGUGCCUAGUAUUGCUAUGGUGGAAACAUAUACCAGACUGCUGCUCACUGCCCCUCAGUGUAGGCACUUCUUUCACCCAGUCUAAGUAAUAAGUAUGCCUAAUCUUUAAUGCAAAGUUCUACCUAGUUGAGGUGACAUGACUAUGUCCCAUUUUCUGCAGCAUUUGGCUCAGAGAAAUCCGGCCUUGUUGAGUAAGCCCGGAGUUACAAUUUUGCUAUUUGAAAUUUUGAACUAUCGCUUACUUCCUCUCUACAGGUAAUUCUGAUUGGUCCAUAGAAUAUCUUAUGUUUCCAUAGUAUUUACGGUGUGCUUAACUCUAGUUAUUCCUUUUGAUGAUCGUUCAGUGUUGAAACUUCUAGGCUCCAAUUCUUGAUCAAUCUCAAUCUUUCUCCAUAGUCAUUGGAUCAAACUUUCUUUUCAGAUACCAAGGGAAAACCAAAGCUUUGAUGUAUGAUGUCACGAAAAUUAUUGCUGCUCUCAAAGGGAAGCGUGGGGAUCAUCGUGUAUUUAGAUUGACUGAGAACUUAUGCAUGAAUGUAAUUUUCUCACUGAGAGAUUUCUUUUCGGUGAAAAGGGAAGGGAAGGUGAGUAAAAUAUUAGGUAAACGUGGAACUAAUUAUCUGGUGUGUUAUCUUUUCUUGCCGGUUACUCCCAUGAUCUCAAAUGCCAAAGAUUUUUUUUAUCUAAUUUAUUGCCAAUAUUUCUUUUGGCAGGGUCCAACUGAAUUUACUGAAACUCUGAAUAGAAUGACGGUCAUUACCCUAGCAAUACUCAUUAAAACUCGUGGCGUUGCUGAUGCUGAUCACCUUCUAUAUGUUCAAACGAUGCUAGAACAAAUACUAGCAACUAGUCAACAUACAUGGUCGGAAAAGACACUACGCUAUUUCCCUUCUGUGCUUCGCGAUGCCUUGGCAGGGCGAAUUGAUAAGAAGGGCCUUGUCAUUCAAGCAUGGCAGCAGGUUCAUCAUAGAACUUAAAACCCUUUUAACUUCAGAUCUUUGUUAUCUCUACUUUUCCUAGCCAUAAUUAUUUCAAAUAAUAUUGCAUUUUUGUCUAGUAUCAUUCGUUCCUUGCACUAUAUGGAGGACUUUCACAGGAUUUUACUACCUUUUGACUAUAAAAUUCUUUUGUUCCCGUGUAUGUUUUCCACACCCCAUUUCUAUCACCAGUUAUUGCCUUAGGCAUGAGGAGUCUCGUGGCAUAUGAUUCUACUGUUUCCGAGUGUUAUAUUGUUCAGGGGUCAUUCAGUGUGCUUGUAUUUAGCUGACAAAAUGGUUGCCUUUGGAUCUGAUUCUACAUCUUAGAAUUUUAGUGUAGUUUGCAGUCUAUGGAUGAGCUAAGAUAUGGGAAAAUUACAAAAAGAAGUCCUAAACCUAUUGCAAUUGUACUAAUUCAGUUCUAAACUUUUUUUUUUGGCUAAUUUAGUCAUAAUUCUUUUACAAUUGUGCCAAUUCAGUCAAUCCGGCCAAAAUUGGUUGGCUGGCGCUGAUAUGGACACCGGCUAGGAACAGUUGGCCAGCGAACGCUGAUGUGGCAAUUUUUUAAUUUUUUUUUCUUUUUUUUUUUCCCAUUUUCUCCUUCCUCUGGCUGGCGAGGCUCGCCCCUGUUGGCCACUGGCAAAGGUGAGCCUCGCCCAACGACAGCGGCCUCGCCGGCUGCUAGCGAGGACUGUUGCCAGAUCUGGACGGUGAGGCUUGACCUCGCCAUGGAUGGGCAAGGCCGAGCCUUGCCAGAUCUUGCGACCUCUUGCGCUUCUGGUCGUUGGCGACCUGGGCCAGGGCCUUGCCGCCCCCUUCGGACUCGCCCGUCGCCCGCACCCUUUUUGGGGAUGCCAUUGAGAUCUGCGAUGGUCCUCACUGGUGGCCGACGAGGCCGCCGUCGUUGGGCGAGGCUUGCCUUUGCCAAUGGUUUGUGGGGGCAAGCCUCGCCAGUGGCCGGUGACUCGCCAGCCCUCGCCUCUGGCCACCGGCUAGCCAAAGGAAGAAGAAGGUGGGGAAAAAAAAAAGAAAAAAAAAAUUAAAAAUUUAAAAAAUUAAAAAAUUUGAUAUAAAUAAAAAAAUAUUAAAAAAUUUCCAUAUCAGUGUUCACCGGCCAGCUGUCCCCGGCCGGCGUUCACGUCAGCGCCGACCGGCCAAUUUUGGUGGGAUGAACUGAAUUGGUACAAUUGUAAAAGGUUUAGGACUAAAUUGGCCAAAAAAAAAUUUAUGACUAAAUUGACACAAUUACAAUAGGUUUAGGACUUUUUUGGUAAUUCUCCCGCUAAGAUAUAGGUUCGCAUGUGUUUUGGAAGGGUGGGUUUGAAUUCAUGAUAUCUUGAGAAAGAAAUUCUGUUAAUGUGAUGUUUGUCAUAUUGCUAAUCUUUGUUGGAAAGUCUCAAAAGCUUAAAUCAUUGGGUGGAAGGAGAUUACGCGAAUACAAGACUCAUCUAAAUCUCAUAGACGAGUGAUUCGGGAUACUUUAACACUCUCUCACAUGCAAACCAGGCUAAGAACAACAUAUGGAAUUUAGAAAUGAGGAGGCUCACAUGCGUAACAAACUUGGGGAAUAACCUAGAUGUUAGAAAGUCCAACCCAAAAGCUUAAGCCAUUUGGUGGAGGGAUCACUUGAGUAUGAGGCUCAUCUAAACCUGUGGACAAGUGAUAUAUGAUACUUUAACAAUCUCAAAACUAGCAUAUGGGUCAAAAAUGGAAACAAUUAAGGCUUUCUUUGCAAUGAUUGUUUUACAAGCUAAAUUAACCUACACAGCCAACAUGUGCAUCUUGUUCAUGUAUUUAAAUGUCCUCUUGGUAAAGCUUAAAUGUGGGAGACAUGCUUUAGCUUUUCAUUUAACAGGCCUGUUAUUGGACAUAUUAGUUCUCUUAUUCUACUAGGUCCCUGUUUUACUCAUGUACAGUGCAAUAUAAGUUCGGGAAAGUCCUGAAAAUUGUGCAUGAGAGGCUUUCGGACAUACUUAGUUUUUAGCUAUCAGUGUUGUAGAUUAUUUCUCAGGAUAAGGUUAAACUUCAUUUGCACUAUGGUCAUUACUAGUUUUCAAAUUUCAGGGUUUGCUUUAACUUUGUUCCUUUUUUUUUCUUCCCCAGGCAGAGACAACAGUCAUAAACCAAUGCACCCAGCUUCUUUCGCCAUCUGGAGAACCUAAUUAUGUGACAACCUAUACUAGCCAUAGUUUUCCUCAGCAUCGUCAAUAUUUAUGUGCUGGAGCGUGGAUUCUGAUGCAUGGGCAUCCCGAAAACAUUAACACUGCGAAUCUGGUAUUACCGCAAGCCGUACAGCACUUUGCAUGUUGCCAUGUGGUGCUAAUUAAUUAGUUGCAUGUUUCCUUAAUUGCAGAAUAGGUUUUUGGCCUAGUUUAUUUCAAUAAUAAUAAGUACUCCUUCAAUCUCUCUCUAUAACCUACAUGUGUGUGUUCUGGAUAAAAGGUGCGUGUGUUGAGGGAGUUCUCUCCUGAGGAAGUGACUGCUAAUAUCUACACCAUGGUGGAUGUUCUUCUUCAUCAAAUUCAGAUGGAACUUCAACAUGGGCAUUUUAUGCAGGUCUUCUAAUUUGAACUUUCUAGAGAUUUCAAGUGCAUAAGAACUCUCUCUCUCUCUACUUGUAAAAUGCGGGCAUCCAUUUUGAUCCAUGUGCAGCUCUUCCUUUUCAGGACCUCUUAUUCAAAACAAGUACCAACCUUGCAUUUCUGAUUUGGACCCAUGAGUUGCUUCCUUUGGACAUACUACUACUGGCACUUAUUGACCGUGAUGAUGACCCCCAUGCCUUACGCAUUGUGGUAACUUUCUAAAUCUUAUAUUUGUACUUUUCGUUGCAAUUGCUUAUGUCCACUUAUCAGAUCAUAUUUGGUCUGCUAUAUUGCUUCCUCUGCCCCCCAAUCAAAUCAGGUUAUUUUCGCUUCUUGCUAGCGUGGUCUUUAAAUCAACAGUUUCAAGGGGGCACGUUAUAUAUCAGUUAGCUGGGGCUCUAGUACAGAGGGUGAACACGGCGGUGCUCUUUUAGAAUUAAAUGAUAUGACAAGGCUAUGGUUGAUGAUGUUAUGGUAUUGAUGGUAUUACAAUCAAUUGCAUCUGACGUUAUACCUAAUGGUUAAAAUUAUAGGUCAGAAGUAAUCUUAUUAUGAUGUCUUUCAACUGUUAUUAUGCAAGAGUCUGUCAUGUAGUUUAUUUACUCUCAAGGAAUGUUUAGUUGCUUUAUAAGUUUUCACCAUGAUGAUUCAGCCAUAUGAAAUACCUUGCUGUUUGACGAUUGUCAAUCUUCUUUUCUGUUAUAAGUGGGAGGUUCGCCAUCUUGUAAUAGAAACAUCUAUUCCUAUCUUUGAUUUGGCUUAGCUUUUGAUGCUUCUCCCCAGCUCAUUAUUACCUACCUUUCCUAUUGUCCUCUUACUCCAUUGACACAUCUCCCCUUAGCUUAGUAGAGAGCUGCCUUAGCUUUUGCCUCAGCAAUCUUCUAUUUCAUGAGAAGUGGUCAUUGUUUCAAUACCUUGUUCCACUGUAGUUUAAAAAUUCUUUAAUGUUACUGAUCAUAAUUUGAAGAAUUUUAAAAAGUGAAAGCUUGAAGCUUCUCAUCGGAUAAAUCAAGAUUAGAAGACCGUGUUGUCUUUUUUAUACGUCGGUGCUAUCAAGGCAUGGAGAAAACCUGGAUUCAAACAAGUGAUAAUUUAGAAAAAUGAACCAUCUGAUACAUAGUCACAACUUGCCAAGUAGACAUUCUCAGUGGGGAAGCUUGAGGAAAGCUUGGCGCUGAAGACAGUCCUUCAGGUGGCCUAUUUUGGCGCAAGCUGAAAAACAAGUGUAGGCCCUGAAAUGGUUAAUAAUUUGUUAUUUUCUAGAUUGCAACUUUGUAUUUAGCCCACGCUGAGCAUUGGGUGCCUGACCAAAAAGACUUGCUGCUAAGCUGAUUAAAGUCUGCUGCUAAGCUGAUUAAAGUCUGGUGGUCCCAUUUAAGUCAUAAGAAAUAGUGUCUGAUAUGUUUGAGAAAUAAGAAGAGCCACUGGUCUGCUUGUAUAGUGGACUUCAAGUGUUUAUGGUCUCACGUUUCAAUCCUUUCGACGUAGCUUUGUCUUUUAAGUUUCCAGCUACUUGAACAAUUGUCCCUAUAAAUAAAUUCUUUAUUUAUCAAAAAAGGAAUUUUUACUUCGAUGGCAUUAACAAGCAUUAUGCUCCAGAUCAGCCUUCUUGACCGACAAGAACUUCAACAAAGAGUGAAACAAUAUAUUUUGAAUCGCGGACCUCCGGAACAUUGGACUUACACUGGAACUUUUAAGCGUGUUGAACUGCAAAAAGCGCUUGGGAAUCAUCUCUCGUGGAAAGAUCGGUAAACUUGCUGGCAUUAUCAUCCUCUUUGAUGGCACGUUAGGAAGGAUUUGGAUUUUUGCUCUUUUAAUCUCAGAUGGAGAUGCGAUGUAUUUCGUUAAUCUUUAGAUAAUAACCAUUUCCUGUUAAUUGUAAGUUCAAAAGUAAAUUUGACUUACCCCAAUUUUGUUAAUUUUGGAUGAUCAACAAUUAAAAAUUGCCCUUAUUACACUGUAUGAUUAAGAACUAGCAUGUGCAUUUGUUUCAAUAGAAAAUAUUUGUAAAAAGUACGCAGGAGUGUGUAUUUUAGUUCCAGCUUUCCUUUUCUUAAAAGGCUUGUUUUCAAGAAGAGAUUUCUAAAGAAGCAUCUAAAAUACUCUUACAAAAGUAGGUUUUAAGUGCUACAGUAACACAAGCAUUAAGUGAUUAGUUGCUGUCCCUCAUAAUUAUAGAUCUUAUCAUAGGCAACCCCUGGUUUUCUCAAGUAUAAACCUUUUCUUUAUGUGGUCAAAGUCUAGUAAUUAGUUAAUGAAUGGAUGUCUUGUGUGAAUGUCUCAAUCUGUUUGAAGUCUUCAAUGCAGGAAUCCUCCAUAGCAUGUAAAUAAACUGGCAAAGAAACCUCUUUUUUCACUCUUCCUGUCUGUCUGAGUAAUGAAUGAAACCAGUUUGUCUAGUCCUUCGUCAAUAUAGGGACUUACAUGGGUUGGAUUAGCAUUUGGCCAAUCUGUUGCAUUAUGUUCAUUAAGUUGAAAACGCAGGGACUUGGGGACUAUAUUUUAGUUUCAUUUCCUCAAGAUGCUUAUUCAUAUUGCAUCACUUUUUUUUUUUUUUUUUUUACAUCAGAUCAAUCUAAGUUGUCUCCUCUUGAAUUGGAUAUUCACUAGGGUGAAAUCUGGAUUAGAUAAAACGAAAAUUUCUGUUUCAAGGAUUCCUUACUAUUUAUCACUGUCUACAUGUUUGUUAUGUACUAGAUCUUAAUCUUUCUCCGAACCCUUGAAACUAUAUCCAUUGUCUUUAUACUGAAUCAAGCUAAUCCAUUGUAGUCCCUCUCGAAGGCACGCAGUCACAGAAGGCAAUUCAAUAUUCACUUUUUCUCUGUACAGGGAAAAGGGGAAGAGCCGAAAUAACUAAUUUGUAGGAGAAGAUACUCACUCAUUUUUCUUUAGAGUAGUGUUCCUCACCCACUCGAGAGUUGCUAGUUGAAUUGUUAGUCCUCCAAAAAUAGGUUUCUGAAAGCUUUUAGGGCAUAAUUCAUCUCACCAUUUAUAAUUGGAUUCUGGGUUUCUGGAGCUUUCUCGAUCUUCGGCUUACAAAUCUCCAAUUAAGUUAGUCUUGCGGCUAUGCACAUGCAAUGAAGCUCUUGUAGGAUGGAUCGACAAUGUCCUCUUAUUAUUGAAUAGGACUAAUCAUAGGGACAAUAUAGACGAUCUUCUUGGUAAGAGUCUGAAUGAUCAAAUUUUUGUGCCUUGUGCUGCAUUCAUUUUACUUGGACUGAGAACUUUCAUCAUGAACUCCUUUUUCAAGGAAGUCUUGAAAGCUGGUUUCAUCUGUACCCCAACUGUUAUUGGAUAUAUUUAAUUCAGCUUUAACUUUUACUGCAGCAAUUUUUAGAGUAGUGUAAGCUAUACUUCGUGAUGGUUCCGAAUUACAGUGAUGCAUGGUCAUUGAGCUUAAUUUCCAGUUGUUACUGGACGCUUCUGUGGACUGUAUUCUAACAGUUUAUGUUGAUAUUAGUUAAUUGGGCAAAUGAUGCUUGAUGAUGCAGGUAUCCCCCAUUUUUUGAUGAUAUUGCAGCCCGGUUGCUUCCCGUGAUCCCCCUUAUUGUUUACAGACUGAUUGAAAAUGAUGCCAUGGAUCAGGCUGAAGCAGUCCUGGCUGUUUACUCUCCAUUUCUAGCUUAUCACCCUUUUCGAUUCACAUUUGUUCGUGACAUACUCGCAUAUUUCUAUGGUCAUCUUCCUGGGAAGCUCAUUGUCCGAAUUCUGAAAGUACUUGAUCUUAGCAAGGUGAAUAUCCUCUUUAUAUCUUAAUCCUUUGAAAUGCUGCUGUCUCUACAACCAUGAUGACUUGAUUUUUUUUCCAGAUUCCACUUUCUGAGUCAUUCCCACAACACAUUAGUUCCUCAAAUCCUGUCACGUGCCCACCUCUGGAUUAUUUUGCUACUCUGCUAAUGGGUCUGGUCAACCAUGUCAUUCCUCCAUUGAGUAGUGACGCAAAAUCUGUUUCUGUUGGGGAUACUUCAAACAAUUCAGCUCGAGCCCCGCAUAACAAAGCUUUGCCAGCUCAACCUGGCCAAAUGAGUGCCUCAGAAGGUCAAAAGGCAUUUUAUCAAAUUCAAGAUCCCGGCACACACACUCAGCUGGUUCUUGAAACUGCUGUGAUAGAGCUGCUUUCACUUCCUGUAUCUGCAUCUCAAAUUGUGUCAUCCCUAGUUCAAAUUGUUGCUAACAUCCAACCUACCCUAAUUCAAUCUAGUAAUUGUCUGCAUGGAGCUCCAAAUGGCGUUGGACAAGGUUCAGUCCUACCAACUUCACCUUCAGGUGGAAGCACAGAUUCCUUGGGUGCAAGCAGAUCUACUCCUUCAGUUUCUGGUUUAAGUACCUCUAACUUUGUCUGGGGAAGUGCUUAUGCAUGUCAACAACCGUCUUGCUUGUUGAUCCAAGCUUGUGGUCUUCUAUUAGCUCAGCUUCCCACUGAAUUUCACUCGCAACUUUAUUUGGAGGCUACGCGCGUAAUUAAGGAGAGUUGGUGGCUGACUGAUAUAAAGAGGUCAUUGGGUGAAGUAGACUCUGCUGCUGGGUAUGCAUUGUUGGAUCCAACUUGGGCUGCACAAGAUAAUACCCCAACUGCCAUUGGUAUGCAUACGUUACUAUACCUUCUCAGCAGUAGCUCUUUUUUUUUUGGGGUCAGAUUCUCAGCAGUAGUUAGGGACACCUUUUGCAUAUGCAUGCCCUCAAAUAGUGUUCAGCAAACAAGUCCACCUUUGCUUAAAAUUUAACUUCGCCUUACAUUAAAAAUCCUCUUCAUGGUUUUUGUUAGAAGCAACUGUAAUAUGAUUAUAUUACCCUAAUACUAUGUUUGGAAAACAUGAUGGGAGAGGAGAAUGCAAAGAAAAUGCCCACUUAUAAAAAAAUUUCCUCCUCUACAUACAAGAAUUAUAAAAUGUUGAAAUAUUUACCAUCCAAAUUUUUGUUCACCUCCAUUUUCAUGCAAUUAUCAUAUGUUGUAAACAAAUCAAAAAACAGUCAGUGUAAUAAAUCCAUAGGUGGAAUAUGUCCUUGUGUGCAUCAUUGUCCUUAUGAGCUCUUGGUUUUCUUUACACUGGACUAAUUUCAACUUAAGCAUGCAAGGUUAUGAUCAUCCGGUUAGUAAUGAUUCUACAUGGGAUUUUCCACUGAAAACAUUGGGUCAAUUUUAACUUACUGUCUUCCUUGAUGUUGCAAUUUAAUAAACGACUCUUCAUUUUGUUGUGCGGUCUACAUAUACUCAGCCUGACAUGUAAAAUUCAUGAUGUGUUGCUGUUAUUUACCUGAAUUUUAUUUUGUGGACUCUCAAAUCAUAAUUAACCCAACCCAUGUCCAUCACGAAUAUCUGGAUAAUGGUACUGAUCUGUAUGUGUGCUUGUGUGAUUUGUAUUCUACACGUGUGUCAAUAUUGAAUGAAAAAAAAUCCUGAAACCUAGAAUAAGUAAGUUUAGUUCCAAUAAAGAAGGCCCUGAUAAGUGGAUUCAGUGAAUUCUCAGUCGAUUCUAUAUAUUAAUGGUUCAAAUGAAUCUUCUUUUAUUAUUUAGUUCCAAAUCCAGGAUGUCCAUGAGUUAUGGUCCAGAGCAUGAGCUUGCAUUUGUUUGCUAUUCUGAUAAUUGUCCUUUCAUGCACUAUCUAGGUAACAUAGUUGCGCUGCUUCAUUCCUUCUUUAGUAAUCUCCCGCAAGAAUGGCUGGAUGGGGCACAAGCGAUCAUCAAACACCUCAGACCAAUUACAUCCGUUGCAAUGUUGAGAAUAGCAUUUCGUAUAAUGGGUCCAUUGCUUCCAAGACUUGCCAAUGCUCACUCCCUUUUCAACAAGGUAAAGGAAGUGAUCCCUCUUCUUCUAUUUGGAUACUUCUGUGGAAAAUGCGACAUAGAGAAAUGAAGCUCAGUGUUCAUUCGAGUAUGUUUCUUUACUAUUUAUUAGUUGAGAAACAAAAUCAGAAUUAAAACUUGAAUAGGGUAAGAAGUUCGUGGAUCUUUAAACUUUUUCUUCUUAAAGGUUGGAAGUUUUGAAGGAAAAUGAAGUUAUCUCACAAUCACAAAGUUUGAGUGGUUAGACAGGAAACAUAAAACAGAAUCUAUCCUUCCCUUUUGCCACGUUUAAGAGUUGAGAGGGUGGAGUAACAAAGCACUAGCCUCUCUCACGCGGUCUUAUAGUAGAUAGAAGGCCUUUUGCAGUGAUAAUUUCAUAAGAUUGAAGUUUUAAAAAAAAUUAACCGUGUUGAUGUCUAUAGCCCAGAUAGUGAGUUUUCUUCUAUUGUGUCAUUUCUUUAUUUCAGCUGUCAACCUUGUCAUUUAUAUUUUUGUUUUUUGCUUGUCUAGUGUAAAGCUAUACCAGUUUGGUCAUAUCCCUAUAUAUUAAGGUUAAAUGACUAAUUACAAGAAACAUUUUCUGAUGACACAAAUGUCCUGAUUCCUAUAAAUGGUUUGAAGUGCAAGACAAUGGGAUAAGUUGACUUAUUGCUUUUGUUCCUUGAAGUUGUCUUCCCAUCUUCUUUAUCAUGCUCUGUACUCUGAGCUUCAAAGGAGACUUUUUCAGGAGCAUGCUUGAUAACUGGAAUAUUCUUCUUUAAGUUCCUACUUGCGCUUUUAUUUUUUAUACUUACUGAUCCUCCUCCUCUUCAAACCCUAGUGAGUUCUUUCCAAAGUCUUAUGGCAGGAUGCUGCAUUUUUCAAGUAAUUGUAAUCAGUGUUUGUUUAAAACUCAUCGUUCUGUCGACAGUACUUAAUGCAGAUGGUGUUUCAGCAAUAGUGAAUGUAAAGCUGUGUACUUAUUAAGUGUUAUCAGUUAAUGUAUGAUACUCUCAAAGUCAUUUUAUUUUUCACUAAGGGAGAGAACAUGAACAGUAGAACUUUGAUGUGUUCAUUAAAUUACGGUGUACAAUAAUCUAAGGCUAGAUUUAGUUGUCCGGAUUUCUAAUCAGGAUAGUAUUGGAUAGGAUAUGAUAUGAAAUUCUGGAAUUUUUCUAUAUAUUAUCAAUUAUUUGGUGAAUUGCAAUAUUAAGGUCGGAUAUAUUCACAUCGUAUCAUGUACAUUUUUUUGAUAUAAAUGACAUAUCAUUGUAAAUGAACCUAAAAUUCUUGAACUGAGAUAAUAAAAAUCUCUCGUGACACUAUUCUCUAAUUUAUUUUUAUUUUUGUUUUAUUUUUCCUAUCUUUUUAAAUUAUUUUCUUUAUUAUUUCUUUUUUCCCCUUCCAUCAUUCUUUAAUAAAAUUUUAUCAAAUAGUAAACUGUAUUAAUAUGCCUAAAAUAUGUAAUAAAUAUAAAUAAAUAAUUAAAAGAUUGAAUGUAUAUUAUAAGAUAGAAUUAAUGUUGAAUAUAUAAAUUAAUAUAAGAUUAAAAUUUAAAAAAUAAUUUUUUAUUUUUUAUUUUUAAUUUCUUAAAUUAGAAUUAAAAUAUUAUUUAUAUUGAAAUAUAACUUCAAUUUUGUUAAUUUAAUAAGUUUGUUAUUCGAGAAAAAUAACUUUUCUAUUAUGGACGUUAUAAAUCUUAUCUACCUUUAUCCCACUUUCCCCAUGGAUAAUUUUAUCCGGCUUAUAUUCCCCUUAUAUCUGACUUCAUUUUGUCCUGAGCAAGUACCAAACAUAAGAUAGGAUAAAUCAUAUCCUAUCCCAAAUUUUAUCCUGAGUCAAACGCAGCCUAAAGGUGUAUUCUAUGUAUAAAUGGUCAUUUUUCAUGAUUCUCUAUCAAUCUAUUAUCUGUGAUUGUCAACUCUUUCUGCGCGUCAUUAAUUUGAUCUAUUAUGUGGUAUUUUGCACCUACUUAUUAAACUAAGUUGUUUCUUAUUCUUCUCACUUCCAGAUACUUACAUUGUUGUUAACCACAUUGGUGGAUGUCUUUGGGAAGAACUCACAACCCUCAAACCACGUUGAAGCAUCAGAAAUAAAGGAUCUCAUCGAUUUCCUGUAAGUGGUUUUUCCUUUUGUAUGGUUAUCCAGGCAGAACAUUGCAGAUGUUUUUGGUGCAUGAGGUUUUGGAGAAGUGCCUCGGUUAAUUACUCUAUAGCGUUUCCCAAAAGGUGCUCAGUUUAGAAUUUGACAAUUCUUUGCAUGCGCAUGACAUAUCAUCGUAAAUUUUGUAUAUAGGAAGACUCAUGAUUUUAUCCCAAACUUUGGUUCAAAAUCUUAUCCAUAACAAAUCUUUUACUUCUCUUUUCACCAGAAUUGCAAGCAGUGGUAUCUGUUCUCGUCUAAUUAAAUGUACGCUGAAAUGAGAGUUGCAUCUGCUGCCUAAUGGAUGUCUUCUUAAUUGUUCUACCAGCCAUCAUGUCGUCCAUUAUGAAGGUCAGGGAGGACCUGUGCAGGCGAACAGCAAGCCCAGACCUGAGGUACUUGCUCUCCUUGGUAAAGCAUCCGAGAGACUUAGACCAGACGUGCAGCACCUUUUUUCUCACUUGAAACCUGACAUAAACACUUCCAUCUAUGCCGCCACCCACCCGAAGCUUGCACAAAAUUCAGGACAAUGAAAGCAUCUAUAGUCGACACCUGGAGCCUCAUAUGUUUGCUCAAUAAAAUUAUAAGUGGCUCCUCAUUUUGGCCGUUUCUCCCUCUUAUACAUGCUUGCAUUUGAAAGCAAAAGAGUCGCUGCUUCUGAAGCAUGAAGAUAUGCAAGUCUACUUGGUGCUGACCUUGGCGUCAUAAAUAGCCUGCAAACUGUUCGCUGGAUACUCUCAGGUAAUCUCUUCUGUAAAUCUGUAAAUACCCAAUCUUGUGACUGUUCGCUGGAUACUCUUCAGUUAAUCUCUUCUGUAAAUCUGUAAAUACCCAAUGUUGUGAUACAUGGAUACUAGCCUACAAAUUUUAGAUAUUACCUCGAAUCUUGGUUAUUAAAUCUUCAAGUGGAGUUCAGAUCCUACUAAAUUCUCCUCGUCUGUUCUCUCUGUAUGCGUGUGUUUUGGAUGUUGCCCUGUCUAAUUGGCUGCUUACUUCAAUGGUGACAUGUCGAUUCAUCAACAUGCCAACAAAAAGUCAUAACUACGAUCUCCCGAUGAUGACGAGGCCUUUCAUUCAGAAUUUCUGUAUAGGAUUCAUUGUUUAGAUUGAUCGUUGGGACGUGCCAAAAUUUUCUUUGGUAGUCAAAUUUAAGUAGGGAAACCUCGCACAUGGAAUAUCACAACUGAAGAUGAAACCGUGCGUGGUUUGAAGGACAUUAUAUAGUUCAUCGAGUAAAGAGAUAAACAGUGUCACUAGAGUGCUUUGUAAACUGGAUCGGACCGGUUGAAUUAUGUGUUGGUCAAUUCUUGGUUUGCUUAAUUGCGUGCCACUUAUAAAUCUGAUUUAGCAUGUCAUCAUGAGGUAGUGGUUAAGAGGAGGAGAGGGAGAUCAGAGAUGGGCGUAUUUUCCCAGCACGCUGGCCUUUUCCUCUCGGCCAUUGAAUGGGACUCUGCGUCUCGCUUUCCAAAGACCACAAUCUUCAUCUCAAGGUUCUCUUGCCGCAGAGAAACUCUCAAAACUCUUAUCCAUAAUUCUGUGAUUGUACAUUACUAGUCAUAAUAAAAUUUGUCCAUGAUAUCAUCGUACAAGAUUUUGAAGAAUUUCAUUUGCUUUCGGGUCAUCUCCCCCAAACAUAGAACUUACCGCGAGCAUUGCGGUUAUUAGCAACUUGUGGUUAUUGGCUGCUGCGAUAAUCCUAAUUGCAAAGUAGAAGAAGAUUUUGGACCCAAGACUGCGUGUGGUUUAUAGCUUCGCACUCUCUGGGCAUGCGUUCUUUUAAGGUCCGUAUCAAUUCGCGAAAACUACUGAAUCUCUGGGAAAACAAGUAGAACAGUGAAAACAGUAUAGUUGAAGGAGACUUUCUUUUCUUUUUUUUGAUCGACAGUUCAAGAAGAGUUACGGGGCACAAAACCGGAUCCCUCUGCACAUAUUACAGUAGAUUUCCUUUCACGCAGCGUAAUGGGACUUGCAUCGGAGUACUCAUCAAGCCAAGCAUAUGGAAAAGAUUAGCUUCGUCGAAUUGACAUGAAUCGGAUGUAACAUCCCCUGAAGCAAUAUCAAGACACUUAAAAAAGAGUCUCUCUAAGAGAAUCAUCUUUCUACAUGUCAUUGGCCAAAGACUUAGUUGAUAAGUUGAUAAAGUUAAUACAGAGCAUCCGGCAGAAAGGAUGUUCUCAGAUUUCAGAAAGAACAUGCUCCGAGGAUCCACAUGACACGACCUUCGAGAAAAGGGAGGUCGCAGUUUGCACCAUUUGUUCAUGGAAGAAUACGUAUUAUUAGAGAUACAUCUCUAAGGUUGAUUCUUAAAGUAACGACGGCUGAAAGAACAGAAUACCUCAGCCAUGCACUAGCAUACCAAGAUAAGAUUUUUCUUGCUGGAGUAAAUACCAGAUUAUUCAAAUUGCUAAUGGAAAAUCUUCUUUCAACAGGGACAUCAACAGCCCAAGAAGCUAAAUCUCCGUCCUCUCCCACGGGUGCUCAGUAAAGUCUCUAGGUGAACUAAGGAGAAUCAUCAUCCUACAACUGACAAUAGUCUCUUAACCAUUGUGUGCAUAAAUUGUGUUGACUUCAAUUAGCAUACCAGGUUCUGGGCAAUUCAGAAUAUUCAACUUGCAGUCAGGUGCGAGUAGCGAGACCACUUUCACUGCAGCUUAUAUGACCUAGAAGAAGCGAUCUGGGUGCAGAUGUCGAUCCAAUAUACAAACUCAACCCAUCAUCAACCUCCCACUCAAUAUGAAAAUACAUUUUGGUGACCCUCAAUUCUCACACACUCAACUGCUCCAGUCUUUAGUGCCGACCCCAAUACAGCCUAAUUUCUUAUUCAUUUUCAAUAAUCAGUCUUGCAUUGACGUCCAGUUCGAAUUGCCCAAAGGAGUGCAUCUGAUGAAACAGUCAUGUUGCCAUCUUAUUUUUCGUCUUAAUGAGAAUUGGCAAAGUUCCAAGCAUGAGUCUGAUCUUACGUGAACCAAAUCGAGACUGGCACAAAUCCAUAUUCCUACUGUAUUCAUCAUCAAAUUACUAAAUCAAUCACGUUAUGCGGUGCAGAAAAGAUGAAUCACAAUCCACAGCUCACAGCAGAGCCUAACAAAUGGGGAAAAGCAAUUCAUGUUUUGACGAACGAAAGAAAGGCUUUUCCUUUCAAAUGUCGGAAGGCCAUUUGUCCACAACUACAGCUAGCAGCAAUAGCUAAAUCCACAAGGACUUCCUUUAGCUCAUACUCUAGUCCCAUAAAUUUUUCGAUGUCUAACCCUGUCAGGUGAAUCUUUUCGUACAUAAGGUUACUCCACAUCAUCCCAUUCCACAACCAUCUGCAUUUCAUCCCCACUAAGCAAACUUAGGCUGGAAUACUCAGAACCAAGCAGACAGCACAGGGAAAUUCCAUACACGAACUUUGUGCCAUCCAAGCAAUUGAUACUCACUAAAAAUAAACAAAAGAACGUUUAGCGCACCUGCAAUUCGAUCGCGCCUACAGAAAAAUCCUCUCAAACCGGAUCUUAUAAACCCUAGGCAUCAAUAACACUUAAAUCGAACCACCCCAGAAAGUCACACAAUGAAUCUGCAAGUCAAUGCAACCCCCUCGCCCAACACUAAUAGACGAUGUUACUAAUUCCAACCCUCACAUUACGUCCGCCAUCUUCAAAUCCCACAAUAACCAACACAACGAACCGAAAGCUAGCCACAACACUACAAGAUCUCCCUCCUUUGAUUGUUUAGUUUCGAUGUUUUGGUUAUUGUUAGUUAAAUAAGUUAUUUGAAACGUUCUGGCUGUUUCAGCGACACCCACCAUGAGUGGUUCGCUUCUCUGUACCUGCAUCAAAUUCACUGGUUUAGUUUUUUUUUGACAACCUUUAAGGGUACAAUGGCAUUCUAAUGGAUUUUCUGCAUCAAGUUCUUGUGCAAAUUGAAGUAGGUUGAGUAAUAGUGCUACACGCCCCAUUUACAAUUGAUGGUUUUUUCUACGCCACUAGAUUCCGUAGCUUCUGAUGCUUGUGAUUUACAACUUAGAACUUGUCAAAUUUCGUGGGCUUAAAGUUCUAAAAUUAAUUUUGUGCAUCAAGUUACGACAGUACAAGCAUUUAAUCUAUUUCCCACAACAGUUAUAGUACACCCGAACACAACAUGAUUACUCUUCCUAAUCGUUCAUUAAUUAGAGUAUGAUGACAUGCCUAUGAAAAUGGUAGUAUAAUAUCCACCUAUUAUCUGACAUUUCGGUGAGGGCGUAUGCAACGUUUUCAUCUUUGUGAUCUUCUGGCUGAGCUUGUCAUUCUCAAAUCAGAUAUUCUUGUAAGUUCUAGGGAUACGUCUCCCAGGAUGAACAUUUUUUUUUCCUACUUGUUUGUAAGCAUGAGGUGAUCUUUCUUUCAUCUGGAUGGAAUUACAAUAUGCCCGGAAUUGUUAUCCUAAGUACACUUGUUGGGUGAAUAUCUAAUGGCCUGUUGGUCUCCCCAACCCUGUUGCAUGUUGUGGACAUUGUACUAAUUGUUUUAAGCCAUUUUUCAAUGCUGAUACGUUCAAGAGAUUUAGCUGAUGUUGAUUAUAGGAAACUAUAGGAAACAAAUUGAAGACCAUUAAACUAAGGCUAUCAAUUUGCCACUGACACUGGAACAAAUGGUACCAUACAAUGUCAGAGUGCUUAACAGACUUACAUUAUUGUCUGAACUGUGAAUACCUAUAGCUACAUGUAUCGUGCCUGAUGCAGCCCGCAUUGAAGACCAAGUCUCUCGACCAAGAAGAUCGGCCCGCAUUCAAGCUCGACGAAACCGAGAAGCCGUAUCGAUAUCUUGAGUCCAUCCCGGAAGUUUGAAAGAAGACACCUUGGGAGCCAUGAAGACGUUAUGCUUUUACUAGUUUCUAGUUCCUAAGCUCUUUAAUGCUUUCAAGUUUCUAUGCUCUAUCUUUAUUUCUUUGACGAUAUAAGCCAUCCAAUUCCUUGUAGAAGACAGACGACUUUUGACAAAUGAAAAAACUUUGCUUUGAAGCAAGUAUCUUGAACCUUGUAAAGUUCAUAUCCUUGAAAACCUAGAAGAGUUUUCACUCCGUCCUCGAAGAGUCGGAGCUUUUCGAAACCUGCAUCCUUGAAGAGUUGCAGUCAUCGAUCUGCAUCCUUGAAGAGUUGCAGUCAUCGAUCUAGAAGAAUCGGUGCCCCCUCAACUUCCUUGGAGGCCUAGAAGAGCAACCAACGGAGUCUCUAUCUUUUCCUGUUCUGUUCGUUACUUCCAACCCAAUUUCGACUAUUCUACAGUGCUUAUUCAGAAAACCCAAGAUAGAGAAAUUGUAGAUCCAGAAGUCUUUGUUCAUUUGGCUUUGGAAUCAGGUCGAUCCGAUCUGUAUAGACAAAGAUACGACUGUUCUCCUGAGCUCGCGCAGUGCUGAAAUUCCUGUCGUCCUGUUUCCGUGUGCGAGUCACUCUCCCGAUCCUACUGCUUGAGAAAGCCUACCCUUGGCUUGCAUCAGUGCCAUUGUAGUAUAUGUAAUUACUUUUGUUUAUGCUAAAAGAAUAUGUGUAUGAGUGUUUUGGCUAUAAUUCUGUCUCUCUGUUAUUUCCCUUGGCGAUGCAAAAUUUGCUACAGGUGGAAUGGUAGAUGGUAGAUCUUCCUGUAUGAAUUGUGAGGGUGUCAAAUUUUAAUUUUUUUUUGCAUAUAUAUGGAAAAUUAUUUACUAGUUUGGUAACUUCGUUAACCUCAUUCCCUGUCAUUCCACUGUCAAUAUUCCUUUUGUAUGUUUUGUGAAAUAAUCUUAUUAUUACUUCUGCUCUUAUGAAUUGGUUUUCAAUAUUCCCCUACUUUCUGCUAGUUUCAUGAUGUAAACUGCUGAAUGAAAAUAGUCUAGCAGAAAAGUCAUGAAAUCACAUAAUGGUAACGUUUAACUCUGGACCAUCACAUAAAACCUGACUAAGGCAGAAGCCUCAGUUAAUGGCAAAACGUUGGUCCACUAAAUCAGCAUAAGUGGUCUGUCUCACACUAUUUAUCUACUUAAAUAUGAGCUCGUGGAAUGAGCCAAAUGAACUUAACGUGGCUUCUUUCUGGAAAUGGAAGGAAAGGAUAGUUGUCAAGCAAGGAAUUUCAUCUUUUCUGAUGGUCUAAGGUAAGGAUCGAGGUGGAUGUUGUGCCUGUUGAUUUUGUCUUUUGCCACAUCAAGUCCAUUCUGCAUUAUAAUCAAUAUGUGCUCCACUUGGUGAUUCUAUCUUCACCCUGUCCAGAAUUUCAUCUGAUUUUAUCCUUGUCUUUUGUGCAGAAGAUAUUUACUAACUUAGACCAUUAUUCCUAGGUAAAUUUUAUUUGCAGUGGGUUUUAGUAAAUACCCCAUCGGAGUCUUAAGAUUCUUUUAUGAAUUCUCUAACGAAGUAAUCCUCGUACUUUACCAGUUGGACGGGCUUGGCUGCGAAUUCUAGGUCUGUAGCGCUACAUUAAGCAGUGCUGGGAAGUCUUUUAGAUUAAGCUUAACAUAUGAAAGAAGACAGCAUUUGCACUUGCAGAACUGUCUAAGAUGUACAGGCCUUCGAUUUCUGGAAAGUUUUUAUGGUCUCUAUUGAAAGUGUACUAAAGAAUUUGAUCAAAAGAAUGUCUUCUUUUGCCACUACCAUGAUCUAUUAUCUCUCUCUCUCUCCCCGCGUGUGUGCAUGCAUGUGUGUAUCUGUGCGUGUGGACUCUGGGUAUGCCUCUAUCAUGUAAUGAAGCUGGAAUUGUGCAACCUGCAAUGUGUGUAUCUGCGCAUGUGUGGACACUGGGUAUGCCUCUAUCGUGUAAUGAAGCCGGAAGUGUGCAACCUGCAAUGUCAAGAAUGGUUUUAGCCACUUGUUGAACCUGUCUCAAGAAGUCAGUAUAUAAAUGUCUGUUUCAAGCGAAAGAAUUAGCUUUAUGAGCCAGCUAACAUCUCACUUUGUUUCCCCGUGUUUGUGCAUUGCAGGAGUUCGACUGUUCAUACGGUCCAGCUUGGCGUUGCAUCGUGGGAACUAGCUUCGGAUCUUAUGUCACGCACUCGCUUGGAGGCUUCCUGUACUUCUCAAUCGAUAAGGUUUACAUCCUUCUCUUCAAGACAGCAGUUGAGCCCUUGGACCACUGAUUGUAUCUGGACAGUCUCUCUGUCUUGUUACGCCUUCACAAGUUUUUCUUCCUAGAUUAGUAUGUAUAAUUGUGGUUUGCGAAACUUCCAAGCGUCAACUUCGAAGGUAUUCAUCACUAACUGCCUGCCAGCGGACCGGUGACUACCAAUUCUUGUAAUAAUUUCUCAUGUCGGAUUGAAUCUCAACCAUUUAUCUGGUGUCUAACGCUCUAUACCUUGUUCCAGACUUAAAUUUAGGUGGUUGCGUUAUGAUUUGUAACUCGUCAAUGUCCUAUCUAUAAUAUGAGAUUAGGUAACUGUUUCUAUGUUCUGCUUGAUCGCAAGCGACAGCUGCUUAACCACAUUACCCCUACCGUUGGGCCCUGAGGGGUACUAGUCUAGAUUAUAUACGGUCAUGUACUAAACAAAAUAUUACAAAUAUAAACAUAUACCCACGUCCUUAACCUAUCAUAUCCUAAUCCUAUAUCAAUGUCAAUCCCUCCGUUAAGGCUCUGUUUGUUUCGUGGAAAAUAAUUUCCAAGAAAAUAUUUUCCGGAUUUUCUGGCGUUCAUUUCAUGGAAAAUAAAUUCACUGGGAAAAAUGUUUUUCAUGAAAGGAAAAAAAUCUUCUAAAUUAAGGAAAAAUGUUUUCUACUUUAAUGUUUUCUACUUUUUAAGAGUAGAAAACAUUUUCCUCACUUGAUUUCUCUUAUCUCACACCUCUACAAAUCCUCACUUUCUCCUUUCCUUUCUUUUUCUUAUUUUCUUUUUUUGUUCGAAUUAUUUUUAAAUUUUCUUUUUCUUUUUUAAUUCGAAUUAAUUUUAAUUUCCUUUUUCUUUUCUUUGUUUCCCAUCUUUUUAUUUCUUGGCUAGUCAUUGGCCGUUGCCAGUUGAAUCUCGAGCUCAUCAAUCUCAAGUUCGCAUUGGGCACUCUUGCUUAUCAUUUUCUUUAUUUAUUCUACCAUGUAGUUGUACAUUGCUCAAGCAAAUGGCUCUACAUUCUUUACUUCUUUUCUCUUUUGUUUAUUAAAACACAAAAGAAGCCAGGGGAGACCACCACCCUCAGCGGUGCAGCUGGCUCGAGCUCUCUCCUCCUCACGAAGGGAAGAAGUUCGAAUCACAGAAACGUUGUUAAGGAUUCUUACCUGAAGUAUUGUGGUGGUGGGUCUUGUAAUCGCUCCCCCAGGGUUUGCUCGCCGGCCGUUCCCUUAACGGAUUCCCUUGGUUACCAAAAAAAAAAAAAAAAAGAAUCUGGGGGAGAAUAGGCCACUCAAUUGGAAUAUUUUCAUGGGCUGUCGAAUAUCAGAAAACAAUGUCAUUUUCCUAGAAAAUGACUUUUGAAAAAUAUUUUCUGGAUAUCGCCUAUUUUCCGUGAAACGAAUGGAUCCUAAAUGUAGCAUGAGUUUUCAACCUCUAGAGAUUGAUUGUCAAGAUAAUUCCAUUCAUUUCACAGAAAACAACUUGUAAAAAAACAUUUUCUAGAUUGUUCAGUGUUUAAUGGAAAAUGAACUAGUAGGGGAAAACAUUUUUCAUUAAGGAAAAAAAUUCUUUUAAAAUUGGGAAAAAUGUUUUCUAUUUUUCAAGUUGGGGAAAUAGAAAACAUUUACCCUACUCACUCUCUUAUCUCGUACUGUUUUAGCCCAUCUUCUUUCUUUUUUUUUUCUUUUUUAAAAAUUCGAAUUUUUAAUUUUUUUUCCACUUUUUUCUUGGUUGGUUGCCAACCAUGACAAUGGCCGAUGACCAGCCAUAGGCGAGCUCGAACUCGCCAAUUUGGUUAGGCCCAAGGCCAGUGAGCCAGUAUCGAGCUUGAAUUCGCCUUUGGACAGAUUGGCCAAUGAAGAAGAAGAUAAGAAAAAAAAAUUAAAAUUUAUUUUUAAGGAAAUAAAAUCAAAUAAUAAAAAACUCGAUUUUUAAAAUAAUAAAAAAGUUAUUAAUAAAAGGUGCACGGAGAAAAAAAAUUUCCUUAUCAAAUAGCCAAAAAAAAUUUCCACUUUAUUUUCAGAUCUUAGCUGUAUAUAGAAAAAUAAUUAUAUUUUCUUGAAACAUGAUAUUUUAGAAAAUAUUUUCCAAAAAUGCCUUAUUUUUCGCGGAAGGAAUGGGUAAGCAUCAAAGUCGUGGGAGCGAAGCAAAAAUAUUAUAGAAUCUAAAUUAAUUUGGCCCCAAGUCAUUGUUUACACGUGAAUCCUGUUACUUCCACUUUUCUUGGCAACUAAGAAAACAAAAAGAUCUCUUGCUUCUUAUCAAAGCCGCUACAUUGAGAUGGACCCGCAUUUCGCACAGUCCAGACAAAAAUUAUCUAUCCACGUUCCCAUUAGGAGUCCAAAUAUCCAAUCAUAUCCCCCUCACAGGCUCUUGUUCAUAUUUCUCCCCUCAAGGCCUCAUUCUCUUCUUCUGUUCUCAAUCAUAAACCAGCAAAUCCAAAGAGUCAUGCUCUGUCAGAAGAUUGGUAGAACCAAGAAAUGCCAAACCUAUCGUUCAAUGUCGAUCAUGCGUCUCCUGAGGAUGAGAACAUAGGUGAGCCGACAGUACCGGGUCAACCCCAUGAGGCCCUGCUUCUGGUCUUGCCUUAUCUCAGCUUAUCUGGGCUGAUUGCCGUGGGCGAAGUGUGCACGUCUCUGAGAGAUGCGCUGCGUGACGAUGUUCUGCCGUGGCUCGAACUCAUUGUCGACGAUCCUUUGAGUCGGCGGAUGUGUGACGAGAUACUUAUUGAGAUCACUUCAAAGGCAAAUGGGAAGCUCCGGACACUGGGGCUGUUCAAUUGCAUGAAAAUCACAGACGGCGGGCUUCAAACUGUUAUAGAGAGAAAUCCUCUCAUCAACAAGGUAAGAUGCAAACCGCUACUCCAGUUAUCCUUUUCUUCUUUGUGUUUAUUGUGAAUUGCUGGAGAUGAUACCUGUAUAUCAUUGUUUUCUGCUCAUGUCCAGCAAUUAAUCAUACCCUUAAACUUGUUUGCUUCAUGAAGCAAACUGCUCCGUCGAACUAAAGAAGUAAGCUCGUGGCAGCCAAAAUCAUAGUGUACGGAAAAAUGUCCGUAAACAUAGUGUUUCUUGUGGGGUUCAGUUUAGUGUUGAUGGCUUCUUAGUGUGCGAUUAGCAACGUCUGAAAAAAUGAGUGGAGACAAUAAUCGUUUGUUCUUCAAAAUAGAAGUAAUUCGAUUUGCAGAAAGUUUACUUUGAUGGCUUAAAAUUGUUGUAUAUGAAGUUAUAUGUACCGGGAUGUACUGGCUUGACACCAGAGGGAGUCAUAAACGCAGUGAAGACUCUAUCAGCACAUGGUAACAUUUUACAGUCCAUAAAGAUCAAUGGCAUCUACAACCUGCAGAAGCAACACCUUCAAGUGCUUCAGUCCUACGUUCAAGAGAAUCCCAAAACGCUGGAGCACAAGUGCUCCACGCACUUUGGACUCGAGGGUGACUGCAAUAUUUGUCCUCUCGAUGUGGAAAUCUGUCCAAAAUGCAACGAGGUGAGGAAGGUCUUUAUCUGCCCUAUAGAAACAUGCGUGAGGAAGAGAGACCGGCGAUUAAGUGAAUGUAGAGGAUGCAGCUCUUGCAUUCCGAGGUGCAUCCAGUGUGGCGCAUGUGUCGAACCUGACGAUCUAGAGGAAGCCGAGGCUAUUUGUGCGGACAUCUUAUGCAUGAGGUGCUGGCUCCAACUACCCAAGUGUGAUUUCUGCAACAAGCCAUACUGCAAGCAACAUGCGGAGGGGCAGCUCAAUCCUUCAGGGUCUCGGGGGUUUGUUUGUGAGUUGUGUGCUGUAUACGAGGAGGAUGAUAUUGAUGUAUAGCUUUGGGCAAAUGAAUCUUGAGAAGGCACAAGCAUAAGGUUCCCUUUUUGCGUAUGAAUGCAUUCUGCAGCAUGUCCCACAUAGUCUCUUUUUGCUACCGUUAGUGCACAGGUGAUGAUUAUACCUUCUCUUCUCCAGAAGUGAACCUUGUUUCAUUCGUUUUGACCGUGCAGUGAAACGGGCAAGAGUACGCACAUAUGAUCUCCUGAGUUUGUGCCCGGUCGUUUGAUUUUACCAUUACAUUUUCUAGCUGUAGAAUCACGUCAUUCAACUUGUGUCAGAUCAGAAAUUGUCACACCUCACUCUUACGAUUCUAUCUUUUGAAGUCACUCCAUCGUUUUUCAUCCCAAAAGUAUGCAGUCGGUAAAGACCGAUGAUAAUGCCUUUAUGAAAGUUGCAAACUGGUUUACAAAAAGAGCUUGGAUUCAACUGUUGGAAAUUAUAUAAAAAAAAAAACAAACUAUUUGUUGUAAUCAGAACAUCAAUGUAAAGAAAACGAUAACAGUUAUACAAUAUCAUUCUUUUUAUUUAAACUUACAAAUCUUGGAGAAUAAUAAAAUAAGAAAUCACUGGAAAAAUAAUAUUAAAUUGGAGGUGAGGUACGAAUAACUGAAUCUCCUUAAGGCGACUAGUUCCUGUUAAUGGUGCUCUGCAGAUUCACGAACUAUGCAUCCCAAGAUAUAACACCUCGAACUUAUUUGGAUUAGCACUAUGCAAACAUGAUUCUGUCGAACCGUUCAAUUGAACCAACACACCCAGAAAAAAAACGGAAGAGUAGAAAAGUAUAUCAAAGCUCUUUUGGAAUUGAGUCGAAAAAGCCAAAACCGAAAAACUGUAAUGAAACUCGAUACUUCCAUCUAUUUAUAGAGAUUUUUAGUUCAUGUACAAAAGAGAUACAUGAAUUAAAUAGAUGUGUGUAUCCACGAAAUUCAUGAAUCAAGAGAUACGCAAAUCCAAGAGAUUCAUAAAUCCAAAGACACAUGAAUUCAAGAGAUUCGUGAACUCUAUAAAUACAUGAAUUUAGGAAAUUCAUGAAUUCAAUAGAUACGUGAACAUAAAAGUUGAGGAAAUUCAUGAAUCCAAAAGAGAUACAUGAAUAGAAAAAAGCGUAUCUUAAUUUAUUGACUUUCGUUGAUUCAUUAACCAUAAUUAUAACUAUAAUUACAACAAUUUCUCACAUUAAUGGAUCAACAAAACAUUUUUGACUCGAAGGAAUCUGAGCAUGCCUGUUGAAAUACACCACAUCAAAAUAGGUAGCUUUUGCUUUGAACCUUCUUUAGUGAAAGCCUAUCGGACUUAUUUAACUAGUCAACGGACUAAGCCUUGAAUUGCCAGUUGUUUGUGUAAGCCUAGACAAUAAACCUCACACGGAGUAUUUCCAAUUCAAGAUUAGUUCUCAGUUGUGUUCAUUCUUUCGACCUUAAACCUCUCGGAAUUCAUGCGUGCUUUAAAGAUUUUCAUAAAUUCGGCCAGCUCCAUGCAUAUAGGUGCAUUCCUAUUAAAGAUAUCCUACCAUAUGAAUGUUACAUUCCAAGUUAUAUGAAUCAUUAAACACAUAUUGUACCAUUAAUAACACUGUAGGAAAGCACUGUUGCAUCAUAGGAAUGGGAGACAGUGCUUACACUAGAGUUUCCAGAGUUUGCGUUGUCCUAUUGAACCUAGACCAUGGGAUCUCCAAUCGCAUAUGUUAGGUUUCCAUUCCAAAAUCUCUUUAUUAGGUUAAGGCGCUUAAACCCAUUCCCCUCCAUGUGCAGUUUACCUUUGUCAGUGGAUUCGCAAUAUUUUCUUUUGACUUUACAAAGUCUAAAUAAAUGAUUCCAUUUGAGAGCAAUUGUUUUACGGUAUUGUGUUUACAAUGAAUGUGUCUAGACUUACCGUUAUAAAUCACAUUAUGCACCCCCACAUUUUUAGAAAAUUGUAGGAUGACAAUUUUUCAUUCCAUAACUCGUAUGGAGUUUUACCUGGCCUUUUGUGAGGUAUUUUAUUAAGGAUAAAUUAUGCAGUUAAAACUGCCCCCCACAAAUUCUGAGGUAAACUUGAACUCAAAAACAUGGCGUUAGCCAUCUCCUUUAAAGUGACAUGUUCAAUCGUUCAGCAACUCUAUUUUGUUGUGGAGUAUAAAGGCAGUCGUUUGGAGAAUUAUUCCAAAACUAGCACAAAACUCCUUGAAAUUGAUUGAACUAUAUUCUCCUCCUCUAUCAGACCUAAGCACUUUGAUUUGUUUAUCAAGUUGGUUUUCAACUUCAUUUUUAUACUUGACAAACAUGCUCAUAGUCUCAUAUUUGCUAAUUAAUAAAUAAAUAUAGCAAAAUCUAGUAUAGUCAUCCACAAAUGUGAUGAAAUACUUCUUUCCCCCUUUACUUUCUACAAACUUUAAAUCACAUAGAUCACUAGGGAUUAAUUGUAGAAGUUCACUUGUUCUUUCAAUGGAUUUGAAAGGUUUCUUGGCAAACUUGGCCUCAACACAAGUCUCACACUUGUAAUGAGCAUCCAACUCAAAUCUUAGAAUUAACCCCAAAUUUGCUAUUCUCUUCAUUGUACCAUAAUUUACAUGUCCUAAUUUACCAUACCAUAGAUAAAGAGACACAACAGUGUAAACUGAAAACUUUUCUUUAUUAAUAGUCUUUGGCUACACAUAAUUUGAGUUUAUAUCAAUGAUAGCACAUUGGCUUUAAACAAGACUUUACACAAGUACCACAAGUAUCAUUUCCCCACGCACAUCCCUCCUUUUGAAAGUAUAAACUUGUCAGAUUCAAAUACAACUUUAAAAUCCUUCUUGACAAGUAUGGGGCCAGAAAUUAGGUUUUUCUGAAUUUCUAGUACAUGCAACACAUUCAACAAGAUGACCUCCUUGCCAUCUAACUUCAGGAUCACCUUUCAUCUUCCUGUAAUCUUUGUUCAGGAUCACCUUUCAUCUUCCUGUAAUCUUUGUUGAUGCAGAGAUAGCCAUAUAAAGCUUUUCAUCUUCUUCAUCCUUCUCAUAAGAUGAGAACAUGUGUUUAUUUACAUAGAUGUGAUUUGAUGUAGAGAUAGCCAUAUAAAGCUUUUCAUUUUCUUCAUCCUUCUCAUAAGAUGAGAACAUGUGUUUAUCUGCAUAGAUGUGAUUUGUGGCACUCGUAUCUAGCCAUUAGCUAUUAGUGUUCGACACUAGAGAUGCUUUGGACAUCACCACACUAGACAAUCUCUCAUUAGCUGUAAUUGGAGGUGUUGCCAUCACAGUAGGCAAGGUUUGUAGAACCAUCUCUCUAGAAAUAGAGCCAAAAGCCAUUUGGCUUGUAAUGUUCUGAAAAAUAGUCCCGGGCAUACUAGUCGUAUGAUUUGUACCUGCACCACCAAAAUUGGUGUUAGCCCAGGGGCCCGUAGCAUUGGCUACUAUAAAUUUAGACCUAGAGGGCUAAAUAUCUUCCAUAGCAACGGUCGAAUUGACCAUAGGAAUGUCUCCUGAAACAUUAUGAACAUUGAAUGUCACUUAAUUGUUUUUAGCCAUCUCAAUAAUCUAACAAUAACAACAAACAGUGAGUGACCUAAUCGCCUUAAGAUUGUUGGAAAUUAUAUCCAGAGAAAACACAAACUGUUUGUUGUAAUCAGAACAUCAAUGUAAAGAAGACGAUAAUAGUUAUAUAAUAUCCUUCUUUUUAUUUAAACUUACAAAUCUUGAAGAAAAAUAAAAUAAGGUAUCACUGGAAAAAUACCAUAAAAUUAGAGAUGAGGUACGAAUAAUCGAAUUUCCUUAAGGCGAUUAGUUCCUGCCAAUGGUACUCCGCAGAUUCACGAACUAUGCCUCCCAAGAUACAACACUUUGAACCUAUUUGGAUUAGCACUAUGCAAACAGGAUUCUAUCGAACCGUUCAAUUGCAUCAACACACCCAGAAAAAAAGAGGAAGAGUAGAAAAGUAUAUCAAAGCUCUUUUGGAAUCGAGUCGGAAAAACCAAAACCGAAAAACCAUAAUGAAGCUCUAUGCUCCCAUCUAUUUAUAGAGAUUUUUAGCUCAUGUACAGAAGAGAUACAUGAAUUAAAUAGACGUAUGUAUUCACGAAAUUCAUGAAUCAAGAGAUACGCGAAUCCAAGAGAUUUAUGAAUCCAAAGACACAUGAAUUCAAGAGAUUUGUGAACUCUAUAAAUACAUGAACUAAAAAAUACAUGAAUAUAGGAAAUUUAUGAAUUCGAUAGAUACGUGAACAUAAAAGUUGAGGAAAUUCAUGAAUCCAAAAGAGAUACAUGAAUAGAAAAAAAACGUAUAUUAAUUUUAUUGACUUUUGUUGAUCCAUUAACCAUAAUUAUAACAACAAUUACAACAUCAACUUUUGAGCAGGACACUCAUGGAACAUCCUUGCCAUCUAUGAAGCACAAUCUUGUUCCCUCCCAUUACCAUGCGACAUCAUUCAUUUUAGUUUUCUUUUUUCAUUGCACUCUUCCAAUUUCCUUGUGCAAGUGAUUUAGCUGUGAUGACUUAAGAGGUCAUUCCUUCUCAGCAGCGGCCCUUCAUGGGGUGACCAUAUUCUCCUCUGUUCGACUUAUGAUGAAUCCAUUCAGCAGAAUAAUCGACCUUAAUUAAAAAUCGGAAAGAAUAUUAUGUUUAUUCAUGUUGAGAUGGCAUGUCUAUUCAUAUUUCUUAAAUAUAAAUGAUAAUUCCCAUGGUACAUCAUUAAUUGACUGAUUGGAAAGUUAUGAAAUGAGUUAGAUUGUGAAAAUCUUUUAAUCAGAGUAUAAUACAACAAGUGCUUUAUACGCGAAUAAUUUAUCUCACUUCAAGAUGGGGGGUAUUUUUUUUUUUUCAUAAAUUCAUAGUUGGAUCGCAAAUCAUGUAUGUACAUGCAUUUUUUUUUUCUUUUUUGGGUAAAAGUACAAGUACUUCCUCACAAGAGAGCAUUUUUGCCUCAAGUCAAUGUUCAGCUAACUUUACAUAAAAGGUUGUUCUCGAAUUUCAAUCACAUUUGAAAGACUUUCAAAUAGGGCCGCAAGCAAUUGCUAUGACGAGGGUCACAACGCUUGCCUAAACUAGCCAAGGAGACCUCACCCAACUCUCUCCCCCCCUUUGUUUCUCACAAUUGCGUUUUUGUGUGAUGCCAUGGUGUUGCCACGAUUGUUGCCAUGCCUCUUUGUUCUCAAAAUUAUUCUCUCUUAACUUACUAAAAAAUAGCCAAGUAGGAUGAUAAAUCCGUAAUUCACAUUAAUUUAUAAUAGUUCUUAUAGAAUAUCACCUUGAACUAAAUAUAUAUUUUUCAAGAAACACACUAAGCCAAAAAAGAUGUUUGAGGACUUGAUUAAACAAUUUUAAGAAGGGCCUAUCUAACACCUAUUUGGCACCAUGUUAACUCCAAGUCUUCUAAAAAUGUUUAACAUGAAACACAAAACAAUAAAAAAUGUUAAUAUUCUCACUUGUCUUGAAAACUUAAUUGCGUGACUUUUAUAAAUUUUAAAAUUUGAUCGUACAAAGCUGAAUUUUGGAAUUUAGUUCAAUUUCAGAAAUAAGUUUCGUUAUUUUAAGAUUCACAUAGCAAUGACUUAAUAUAGGGAUUUUUGUUAAUGAUAGUAAGAACAGUAUGAUUGACAAUUUGACAUUUCCUUCAAUAGUUUUUGAGUUUUUAUCUUUUAUCUUUUCCCCUUUUUGGCUUUGUAAGCAACUAAUAAAGCCAACGGAAAAAAAAAAAAAAAAACACGCUUUAGGGGCAAAAUUCUCCUCGCAGCUCCAGAGGGAAGAAGAAAGCCAACGGAAACCCACGCAGCUCCGAAACUCCCCCCCUUCCCCCCCGCCAUCGAAAUGGUCCGCCGAGAAGAAUCGUAGGAGCUCCGUCGCUUCUUCGCACCCCCGCCCCGCCGCCGCGCCGCGCAGCGAACGUGAUCGCCGGGGAGGGAAGAUGGAUCAGCCGCCGCAGCGAUCGAGCUCGGCCUCGCGGGCCUACCAGGUCCAUCCGUCUCGCGCCGCCAUCAACGAUCUCUUCAACCUCUACUUAGGAGUAAAACUCUCUCUCUCCCCGAAACAAUCCUCCUUCGGCUUUUGCGUGUUUCGACUCUAGUCGUUCGCAAGUGUCUGACUUCGCUCGUGUUUCGCAGAGGAACAGCCGCCACCGAGCCGACGACUCCGUCCGCGAACCCCCGUAAGGGCUCGAAACUCGGAAUGCGUGAAGCCCGUGGAUUGGCUCUGUGUUGUCGCUUGUGUCUGUUAAGUGUAUAGGAGUACGAUUGUGGAGCAAUUGAUUAAGUUUCCGGUCCAACUGAAAAUGGUCCUUUCGUUGUUAGGUGAAUUAGAUGGUUUUUGCGCCCACCCCUUGUGCCCUAGGUCUAAGAUGAGAAGGUGAUUUUGCUGUCCAAAGUUGGGAAGGGAAAUUUCGGUGUGUUUGUUGUUUGAAUCAGAGUUCGACUUCUGGGUAUUGUUGGGCUGUGCGUCGGAUGCAAUGAGGAAUCUUUGGUGGUUUGCUUCCUUCGGGGGUUAAUUCUGCUUCAAUUUGCAUCUAAAUCACCUGCAGGAAUAAGGCGCAGAAGCGUGUCGUGGCUUUUAACAGGGACCUUCCUCCUCAGAAUGACCAGUUCAUUGUGGACUUCCAGCAACUUCAAAACCAGUUUGCUGUAGGUUAAUAAAUCCUAUUGCAAAUACAUCUUCCUUUUGCAUUUUUUCCUAAAUCUCCCUCUCUACCUAUAUAAUUUUAUGUAACUAGCAGAUGCGAGCUUAAUGUGUGUGCUGUGCAUUUCAGGACCAAGAUCAACUGCGAUCCAUGACAGAAUCUGUAAUUAUAUCUUUGGUUGGACUGUGCAGAAAUCAUGCACCACGGGCAGAGUUUCUUCUCUUUGCUCUACGGAGCUUGUGUGGUAUUGGUUACAUUAACUGGGACACAUUUCUGCCUUCUCUUCUUUCUUCAGUUUCGUCAACUGAACUUUUAGUGGGUCAGGGGAGCCAGUCUAUGCCUGUAGUAUCACCAACAAGCUUAUCACAGUCUGAAAGGGUAGCAUCAUCAGGCGCAAUCCCCAAUUCGAACUUUCAGCCUUCCAAUCCUGCAUCUCCAUUGUCAUCGGUUCAUGUCAUUGGUUCUCCUGGUCAGUCAACAAUUGAACCAUCAUCUGGUGCGACAAUGUCACCGGUAAAAUCAUCUGAUAUCUCCUUCUCUGGUCAACAUGCCGCAGUGAGAACUGGUUCAUCUGUAAGAGACAGUGGUGUGAGCAGCCUACGUCAGCUAUGCUGCAAGAUUAUCUUGAUAGGUCUUGACUUUAAUUUAAAACCGGUGACUCACUCAGACAUAUUCUCACAUAUGCUUAAUUGGCUUGUUAAUUGGGAUCAAAGACAACAUGGAAUGGAUGAAUCCAAUGUCAUCAAGUCCUGGAGACCUGACAAGGCACUGAUAGAAUGGCUACACAGUUGUUUGGAUGUGAUUUGGCUAUUGGUUGAGGAGGACAAAUGUCGAGUGCCCUUUUAUGAAUUGCUACGCAGUGGCUUGCAGUUCAUAGAGAACAUACCGGAUGAUGAGGCCUUAUUC